rnacentral:rRNA from 2 species
GUGCCUAAUACAUGCAAGUCGUACGCACUGGCCCAACUGAUUGAUGGUGCUUGCACCUGAUUGACGAUGGAUCACCAGUGAGUGGCGGACGGGUGAGUAACACGUAGGUAACCUGCCCCGGAGCGGGGGAUAACAUUUGGAAACAGAUGCUAAUACCGCAUAACAACAAAAGCCACAUGGCUUUUGUUUGAAAGAUGGCUUUGGCUAUCACUCUGGGAUGGACCUGCGGUGCAUUAGCUAGUUGGUAAGGUAACGGCUUACCAAGGCGAUGAUGCAUAGCCGAGUUGAGAGACUGAUCGGCCACAAUGGAACUGAGACACGGUCCAUACUCCUACGGGAGGCAGCAGUAGGGAAUCUUCCACAAUGGGCGCAAGCCUGAUGGAGCAACACCGCGUGAGUGAAGAAGGGUUUCGGCUCGUAAAGCUCUGUUGUUGGAGAAGAACGUGCGUGAGAGUAACUGUUCACGCAGUGACGGUAUCCAACCAGAAAGUCACGGCUAACUACGUGCCAGCAGCCGCGGUAAUACGUAGGUGGCAAGCGUUAUCCGGAUUUAUUGGGCGUAAAGCGAGCGCAGGCGGUUGCUUAGGUCUGAUGUGAAAGCCUUCGGCUUAACCGAAGAAGUGCAUCGGAAACCGGGCGACUUGAGUGCAGAAGAGGACAGUGGAACUCCAUGUGUAGCGGUGGAAUGCGUAGAUAUAUGGAAGAACACCAGUGGCGAAGGCGGCUGUCUGGUCUGCAACUGACGCUGAGGCUCGAAAGCAUGGGUAGCGAACAGGAUUAGAUACCCUGGUAGUCCAUGCCGUAAACGAUGAGUGCUAGGUGUUGGAGGGUUUCCGCCCUUCAGUGCCGGAGCUAACGCAUUAAGCACUCCGCCUGGGGAGUACGACCGCAAGGUUGAAACUCAAAGGAAUUGACGGGGGCCCGCACAAGCGGUGGAGCAUGUGGUUUAAUUCGAAGCUACGCGAAGAACCUUACCAGGUCUUGACAUCUUGCGCUAACCUUAGAGAUAAGGCGUUCCCUUCGGGGACGCAAUGACAGGUGGUGCAUGGUCGUCGUCAGCUCGUGUCGUGAGAUGUUGGGUUAAGUCCCGCAACGAGCGCAACCCUUGUUACUAGUUGCCAGCAUUAAGUUGGGCACUCUAGUGAGACUGCCGGUGACAAACCGGAGGAAGGUGGGGACGACGUCAGAUCAUCAUGCCCCUUAUGACCUGGGCUACACACGUGCUACAAUGGACGGUACAACGAGUCGCAAGCUCGCGAGAGUAAGCUAAUCUCUUAAAGCCGUUCUCAGUUCGGACUGUAGGCUGCAACUCGCCUACACGAAGUCGGAAUCGCUAGUAAUCGCGGAUCAGCAUGCCGCGGUGAAUACGUUCCCGGGCCUUGUACACACCGCCCGUCACACCAUGGGAGUUUGUAACGCCCAAAGUCGGUGGCCUAACCUUUAUGGAGGGAGCCGCC